rnacentral:rRNA from 1 species
CCUACGGGAGGCAGCAGUGGGGAAUCUUGCACAAUGGAGGAAACUCUGAUGCAGCGAUGCCGCGUGAGUGAAGAAGGCCUUUGGGUUGUAAAGCUCUUUUGUAGGGGAAGAUAAUGACUGUACCCUAAGAAUAAGGUCCGGCUAACUUCGUGCCAGCAGCCGCGGUAAUACGAAGGGACCUAGCGUAGUUCGGAAUUACUGGGCGUAAAGCGCGCGUAGGCCGUUGAGUUAGUUAAUUGUGAAAUCCCAAAGCUUAACUUUGGAACUGCAAUUAAAACUGCUCGACUAGAGUUUGAUAGAGGAAAGCGGAAUACAUAGUGUAGAGGUGAAAUUCGUAGAUAUUAUGUAGAACACCAGUUGCGAAGGCGGCUUUCUGGAUCAACACUGACGCUGAGGCGCGAAAGUAUGGGUAGCAAAGAGGAUUAGAUACCCUCGUAGUCCAUACCAUAAACGAUG